AUACAUCCUAGGAGAGAAAAACAUGGGAUUCUAAAAAUAGUAUCCCCAAAGCAUAUGCUCUUAAAAUCAGUACAUGCUCUGUAUAGUGACGUCUGUUGGAAAAAGAAAUACUGGAACGAAUUAUAAGGCACAUGGAUUUAAACCAUAAGGCUGAAUGACCGGACCACCGCAACAGCAACACUGGCGGGAACUGUGGUUGAGUCCUAAGGGCCAUCACCGUCCACGGUGCAACCCUCCCCUAAGGAAGUACGUCCCGUCAUCGAUGGGAGGAGCCAGAUCCCCCACCUAUUUGUGUACCCUCCAGGGUGGCGAGAUCCAACCACCAUGCCGGAAGCAUAUCAUCCUCAUUUCGAGGUGCCCCCCCCUGGGGGGUUUACAUAUACGAGAAAGGUUAUUUGAAGUGAAAGGUCUAUGCUAAAAGUACGCGUGCAUUAAAGGAGGGCAUCAACGAAAUCAACGUUGCAUCAACGAAAUUCAGCCACAUUUAUGUAAAAUCAUCAUGGGAAAUUUCGACAAAAG